GGAAUUUUGCGCAAUGGGCGAAAGCCUGACGCAGCAACGCCGCGUGGAGGAUGAAGGUCUUCGGAUUGUAAACUCCUGUCAGUGGGGAAAAAGGGGAACGGGCUCAUACCCCGUUUCAUUGAUUGUACCCGCAGAGGAAGCCCCGGCUACCUCUGUGCCCGCAGCCGCGGUAAUACAGAGGGGGCAAGCGUUAUUCGGAAUUAUUGGGCGUAAAGGGCGCGUAGGUGGCCGUUCAAGUGGUAGGUGAAAUCCCUCGGCUCAACCGAGGAGCUGCCCGCCAAACUGAAUGGCUUGAGUCCGGGAGAGGUGAGUGGAAUUCCCAGUGUAGCGGUGAAAUGCGUAGAUAUUGGGAGGAACACCAGUGGCGAAGGCGGCUCACUGGACCGGAACUGACGCUGAGGCGCGAAAGCGUGGGGAGCAAA
rnacentral:rRNA from 1 species